AUGAUGAAGCGACACAGCUCUGCUGCCCUCCCGCCGUCGACGGGCGGCGAGAUGCAUGAGGAGACGAUGGGCAAGGCGGACAAGUCAUACAAGCGGCCUAGCCGCUGCUCCCGCCUCUGCUCCUUCCUCAUCAUCGCCGCCGCCUUCUCGAUGCUGACAUGCCACUGUUACGACUACGUCCACGGCGGCGUCGCGCGCGUCGAGCACGCCCGUGCGUCCUCGCGACGCCUCGGCGGGUCGCCCUUCUCCGACCCUGCCGUCCCGCCUCGGCGUGACACCGCCGACCGGAAGGUUUCGGCCGACAACGAAGCGUUCGAGCUCGCUGCUGCGGAUGCGAGGCGGAGGCGAGAGCUGUGUAGCGGCCAGUACAUCUACGUCCAGGAACUGCCUUCCCGCUUCAACACGGACAUGGUCUGGGACUGCGAGGACAUCUCCCCGUCCAAGGACAAGUGCAAGUACACGGCCAACGGCGGCUUCGGCCCGCGGCUCCAGGAGAGCGGGUGGUACGACUCCGACGAGCUCGCCCUGGACGUCAUCUUCCACGACCGGAUCAAGCGGUACGAGUGCCUCACCAACGACUCCUCCCUCGCGUCCGCCGUCUUCGUCCCGUUCUACGCCGGCCUCGACGUGGCGCGGCACCUCUGGGGGUAUAACGUCUCCACGCGGGACGCGAUGGCGCUGGAGAUGGUGGAUCUGGUCACGGCGCGCCCCGAGUGGCGCGCCAUGGGCGGUCGAGACCAUUUCUUCGUCGCCGGCCGCACCACGUGGGACUUCCGGCGGCAGGGCGACGUGGACGCUGAGUGGGGAAACAAGCUUUUCCGCCUGCCAGCCGUCCGGAACAUGACCGCGAUCGUCGUGGAGGCGAGCCCGUGGGACCGGAACGACGCCGCCAUCCCGUACCCCACCGCCUUCCACCCGGCGACCGACGAGGCCAUCUUCUUCUGGCAGGACCGGGUGCGCGGGCUGGAGCGCCAGUGGCUCUUCUCCUUCGCCGGCGCCCACGCCGAGGACAGCAAGUCCAUCGCAAGCAACCUCGUCGAGCAGUGCAGGGCGUCCGCCGCCUGCUCGAUGAUGGAGUGCACGAAGGGGCCGGGCAACCAGUGCGAUUCCCCGGCCAGCAUCAUGAAACUCUUCCAGAGCUCGACGUUCUGCCUCCAGCCGCGGGGCGACAGGUACACGCGCAGGCUGGCCUUCGACGCCGUGCUCGCCGGUUGCAUCCCGGUCUUCUUCCACCCCGGCACGGCGUACGUGCAGUACACCUGGCACCUGCCCAAGAACCACACCGAUUACUCGGUGUACAUCUCGGAGGAGGACGUGCGCGGGAACGUGAGCGUGGAGGAGAGGCUGCGGCGGAUACCGACGGACGCCGUCGAGAGGAUGAGGGGCGCGGUCGUGGGCCUCAUCCCGGCGGUGACCUAUAGUGACACGUCAACGAAGCUUGAGUCGACGGUGAAUGACGCAUUCGACAUGGCGGUGUGGGGCGUCAUUCGGAAGGUGGCGAAGACGAGGAAACGCAUCCUGGAGGGCCGUGCGGAGGAUGAGAAGCCAGAGAUGUAUAGUUGGAAGUACCCAUUGUUGGGAGAAGGGCAGAAGGCUGAGGAUCCCCAUGAAUGGGAUCCCUUGUUUGCCUUCAAUUAG
rnacentral:rRNA from 1 species